GUUAGUUUUCCAAAAAGAGUCAAGUGAAGGACUAGAGGUUCCUCAAGUCCAACCAUGUUCAGACAUAUACCUGCUUCUUGGCCUAGGUGCUGCUAUUUAGAAUCCUCUUUACUGGGGCAGUGGUCCAAGGUACUAUUUAGGUGUCUCUGCCAUCGUGGGAAACCUUGACUAAGACACCUUUCUUCACUGGCUCACACUUAGGUCACCUCCCUUCCCUCCUCAAGCCCCUCAGGUGGAUAAAAAGACAGGGGCUGUUUGUUUGGGGGUCAUGGUCAGUUAGAGGAUGCCUCUUGUCUGUCUGCAGCACAUGUCACUGAACCCUUGCCUUGCUGUUCUGUGUGAAGACAUGGAACCCUGGGAAACUGGCAUCUAUUUUUGCCUCCUGAAGUGCUGUUACAGUGAGUCAACAGGCUUGUCUGUUGCCUUUAGUUUGGCUUGUUGUCCUAAUUGACCACUUUGACAGCUGAGAGUUCCACAUAGCUCACAACUCUUCCCUUUUCCUUUAGUGGCUUUUCUUAAACAACAUUCUUUUUAUGAAACUAAUGACCAAGUAACAUAGACAUUUUUAAAUACUGUGAAUUUUAUAAUGAAGAAAGUAUCCUCUUAGAAUACAGAUAAAAAUACUGGCUAUAUGUAUACUCAUAUUUAUAGACAAAGCAAAGAAGAAAAGUCUAUUUUAAAAUAAUACCACAUAAAAUAAUCAUGAUAACCAUACAGAGAUUCAUGAUAUCUCAUUGAUGCUACUAAUGCAGUAUUUCCUAUGUUCAAAAUUGUUGGGUUUUGGUUUCCAUUAUUACUGUAUUUUAAAAUAUGUAGCUUUAUAUAAUAACAAUGUCAUAUUCAUAUGCUAACAAUUAAUAUAAUGUAAAUGCUGAACCUUUCCUCCUGACACUUUAGGCAUUAAAUUAAUCUCUUGAGAAAGAAGUUGUUAUUCAGGCUACAUUAGUAGAGACUGAUAUUAUGUGCAGGAAAACAAAGUUUCAUUGUUUAACAGAUGCCUAAUUAGGGAGUUGAGCACUUGAAUCAAGUGAGGCAUGGAAAUGGAUUAUACAGCAUUUACAUGUGGAGCCCAUUAUUUAUCAAUAAGAGUAAUAAAUGCUGCUUUAAAGGGAAACUCACCAAAGCUUAGUUGAACUUUGAGCUUCUAAUUUUUCCCUUUCUUCUUUGAUAAUUUAAAUUACAGUACAUAACUUUGCCAUUAUAGCUUCUGUUAAGUUAAAUAAUUGAUUAGUUAUCCCAAUGAAAAGACUCAGCGACCAUAAAACUUGAAUCUUGUAAAGCUUUAUUUUCAGAAACACACCACAGAUUGUUAAAUUUAACAAAGAAUCUGUGAAAUACUGAUGAAAUAAAGCAAGAAUUCAGGCACUGCAAAAUUCCACAGAUGAGCUGAGUUAGGAAGAUGGCAUUGGUAGAAAUGAAAUAUUUUAUAGGAAAACAGCUGCUUCGCAUAAC
rnacentral:lncRNA from 1 species